AUAUGUAUGUGUGUGUGUAUAUAUUACUAAGAAAAAAAGGAACUAAAAAAUCCAGGUAGAUAUCAAUAAAGCACUCAGUUUUAAACGAAUUUGAUUAACUCUUCUAUCAAAC